ACUCCUACGGGAGGCAGCAGUGGGGGAUAUUGCACAAUGGAGGAAACUCUGAUGCAGCGACGCCGCGUGAGGGAAGAAGGUCUUCGGAUUGUAAACCUCUGUCUUUGGGGACGAAUCAAUGACGGUACCCGAGGAGGAAGCCACGGCUAACUACGUGCCAGCAGCCGCGGUAAU
rnacentral:rRNA from 1 species